GUCAAUGGGGAACUCGCUUUCAAGGCCUUCCAUCUAUUGGCCCAGAGCUCAGAAUAUUCAGCCAAUGAGAGAAGGCGAUAGAUGAGGUUUCUGAGUUGGGUGUGGUGGAGGUCUCUGAUUGGCCAAGAGGUGGUCGUGGUCGACGUCUUCCUCCCUCAGCAGUUUGUAGGCGGACGUCUUCAAGAAAUGGCAGAAUUUUUAAGCUUUCCAUGCCCCAUAUGUAAUUUUCGUUUCGGCAGUACUCCGGUGGUGAAGAAAAGGGUCAUUAGAGAACAAGAUGUACAGGACAGAGGAAGAUGGAGAUGGCUGACUAGAAACGGAGACCUCAUAAUAUAGAAAUGGGAAAAGCUGAAGGCAAAGAAGUAGUAGUAGUAGUAGUUGCACAUCUCCCUGGCACGUCGUUCAAGGCAUGAGAAAUUAUUCUUGGGGCACAGAGCCGACAAAGUUUGCCCAAAGCAUGACUCUGUGGCUAUUUUAUGACUUGUUUUCCUUCGUGCGCAUACCAAGCCCUAUGCUGUUCAAACAAAGAGGAAAAUGAGGCCUCGGACCAAGAGGAAGAAGAAAUGAGGCCUCGGACCAAGAGGAAGAAGAAAUGAGGCCUCGGACCAAGAGGAAGAGAGACCUCGGAUCAAGAUCCAGACAAGACACCAAGAGUCAACUCAGAGAAGAUCGUCGGAACGUCAUUUAAAAAAGAAUUAAGCCGGUAAUCCAGGGCUUUUGAAAAAAAUAAAGAUUCUGGACGCCUCACGUUUUAAGAAUUCAAAAUUGGUUUUCAUUUUUUUUUCUGUGGGGUGGGGGGAGGGGCAG